UGAAACUGUUGAUCUUGAGGGCAGGAGAGGAAAGUGGAAUUCCUGGUGUAGCGGUGAAAUGCGUAGAAAUCAGGAGGAACACCGGUGGCGAAGGCGACUUUCUGGACUGCCCCUGACGCUG
rnacentral:rRNA from 1 species